CUAUAAUAUGUAUAAUAUCUGUUAUUGAUUGUUUUUCCUUCUUGGUUAAUUGAAUAAAAUUGUUUUUUAUGAUAUUCAAUCAAUGGAAAAUGUGACUUUCACAAGCUCCAAGCCUUUCUCAAUUAUAGAGAUCUCAACUUGUAUCUAAAAUUUGCUUAAGACACUGGUGGAAAAAUGUAUUUAACGUUUUACGUUCAUAUGCAUAGGCUCGACUUCUAAAAAUGUAUCCUGCAAAGCUAUGCUUCACAAGUUUACAAUGCCUGUCAAGUGCAGCACAUACAUUUGUGUUCCAUAAUUGUAUUCGAUAAGGAUAAUACUAUCACUGCACCUUAUUCCUUGACUCUUUGGGCCUUUUUGAGUCUUCGUUGGAGCAGUGCAAAUCAGUUUUCCGACUCAAUAUCCUGGUGUUCAGUAACUCGGCUGGGCAUUAUGAGUAUGAUCAUGAUGCAUGAAAAGCUAGGGAGCUUGACGUGCCAAUUAGAAUUAAAAUGCUAAUACAUAAAAAUUUUAGGGCAUUGUGCACAGGUAAUUGGAGCUACUGCAAUAAUUGGAGCUACUGCAACAUUUUAUCACUGACAUGGUUGGAAUGUGUAGAAAUUUAACGGAGAGGGAGUAAAUUGGCUAAUUAAAAUAGUUUGAGUGACAGUGAUCAUAAAGUUCAGUGGCAAAUUGAUAAAGUAGUCUUGAGCUAAAUUAACCAUCUACUUAGAGAUACAUUAACAAACAUCUGCGUGCACAUUUAUUCCUAAUAUUGUGGACACUAUGUAAUGAUUGCCUACGAUAUUAUUGUUUACAAACUUGCAUUCCAAAUUUGAAAGAUCAUCUAUUACCAUAUGGUGCACUUCUACUGAGAAUGUAACGUUUAUUGUGAUUAAUUGUUUAGUUUACAUGUUUUUGUGGUGCACAUAUGGUGAUGCAGAAGCUUGAGAGGUCCUCUGGAUUUUGGUAGUUGCAAAUUUGCAAUGAUCAAGAAACAUGGGACAUGAUACUAGAAAAUGUGUUUGUAGAUUCAAAAGUUAACUGUUGUUAAUGUUAUUAUAGUAGAAUUUCAUUUCAUUUUGAUGUUGGGAUACGAUGAAUCAUGAUCGGGUUAUGAUUAAUGCUAAUUAAUGAUAUGAAUCAAAUGCUUGCAAUGUGUAAUUAUGAUUGGAUUAAAGGAGUUUGAGUUUUUUCUCUAAUGAAAGUUAUAAAACAAAUUGUACUUUUAGGUACUUCACAAGUCAGAGGCCAAGUCUUAAAAUAUCUUUUGUAAUGUUUUCAGAAAAACAUUUUCAAUUUUUGCAGUGGGAUACUGAGAUUUGAACCAGUCCAGGGUAAAAAAAGUUUGAUAACAUUGCACAAGAUUGGAACUUGCAUAGUAGUUUUAUAUUCAGUUUGUGGAGCGAGUAAUUUGUUAUCGGUACAAUUGGUUUCUCUUUACAUGCCUAUACUCGCAGGAGAUAAAUUCAGAACCAACCUUCUCCAACUCUCUAGCAGUAGAACCACAUCUACCACCAGGCACCUCAUGCGUGUCAAAAGCAGGCCCUUUGAGCUUCAGUCCGGGGGUAAGCUUCUCUCUUUUGAUUGGAUUCAAGCUCAAGUCCUCAGGUGAGAAAAACAGAGAGCCAGCAAAGCUUUGUAGAGAGGAGGCAUGAGUUUCCUGUGAUGUUGAAUUAUCUACAGAAAAGUUCUCUAAAGAUGGUUACAGUGGAGACCAAUAUUCAGAACACAGUGGACAAGUCUUUACGAGCUAAUCCUACUGGGUCAUGCCGUUUUUACCCCUUCUUUGUUUCUGCGGUCACUGUUUAUUCUACAGUGUGAUUCCAUUUUUAACCCUGUUUUAGUGAGGUGAUGGUGGACGUGAGUUGCUGAUGGUGGACGCGUGUUCUCUCUCAGAUUUCUCGACCUCGCUCUCUUGAAGAUUCCGGUGAACCUUUCCGUUUCUUUCCUGUGCAGACUUCUCGAGUUCUCUCUCUAAAAUUUCAUCUCUCUUCUCCUUUAAACCACUUUCUCUCUCUAGAACUCCCUGGCCGCUGCCUUUUCUCUAAUGGUUGAAUAUGGGCCUGCAUAAACCCUAUGACGAAUGAUUUCCUUGGCACAAGAACAUGAACGAAGCCCAGACAUCCUCAAAACUGCAGGCAAGAAUGUGUUUUUGACUCUCUUUUAUGUGUUUUUGACUAUUAGUUAAUUUAGUUUAUCCCAGGUAUCUUUUUCCCUCUGUUUUAUGUGUUUUUGACUAUUAGUUUAUUUCCUCCGGCUUCAAUGAAAGGAUGCGAAAUUUACACUG